rnacentral:lncRNA from 1 species
GAGACCGAAUGGAAAAAAGUUGAGAAGAAAAGAAGAAUAGGUGAGCACAAAAAUUUUAGCAGCAAGAAAAAAAUAAUGAAAAAGGAAAACCGCAGCAAAAAAGAAGAAGGGGAGAAGAGAAAAUCAAAAAUUCUAUUUUUGAAGAGAAAAAGAAGGAAAAAAUAUGAACAAAAUAAUUCGAUAAGAACCCCAAUAACCCCAAAAUCC